rnacentral:rRNA from 1 species
GGCUUUGUUUGCGCAGGAUAGGUGGGAGGCGUUGAAGAUUUUCUUGCGGGGAGAUUGGAGCCGUUGGUGAGAUACCACUCUAACAAUGCUAGGAUUCUAACCCUAUACCGUUAUCCGGUUAGGGGACAGUUUCAGGUGGUCAGUUUGACUGGGGCGGUCGCCUCCCAAAAGGUAACGGAGGCGUGCAAAGGUUUCCUCAGGCUGGUCGGAAAUCAGUCGUAGAGUGUAAAGGCAUAAGGAAGCUUGAUUGUGAGACCUACAAGUCGAACAAAGACGAAAGUCGGCCUUAGUGAUCCGACGGUUCCGAGUGGAAGGGCCGUCGCUCAACGGAUAAAAGUUACUCUAGGGAUAACAGGCUGAA